GGGGAAUAUUGCACAAUGGGCGAAAGCCUGAUGCAGCAACGCCGCGUGAGUGAAGAAGGUUUUCGGAUUGUAAAGCUCUGUCAUCUGGGACGAUAAUGACGGUACCAGAUGAGGAAGCCACGGCUAACUACGUGCCAGCAGCCGCGGUAAUACGUAGGUGGCAAGCGUUGUCCGGAUUUACUGGGCGUAAAGGAUGUGUAGGCGGAUAUUUAAGUGAGAUGCGAAAUCCCCGGGCUUAACUUGGGGGCUGCAUUUCAAACUGGAUAUCUAGAGUGCAGGAGAGGAAAGUAGAAUUCCUAGUGUAGCGGUGAAAUGCGUAGAGAUUAGGAAGAAUACCAGUGGCGAAGGCGACUUUCUGGACUGUAACUGACACUGAGGCUCGAAAGCGUGGGGAGCAAAC
rnacentral:rRNA from 1 species